GGCAGGGCGCUUCUCCUUAGGCUUGGGCUGCUUGGCAUGAUCCGGCACCAUGUCCCCCGGUGUCAUGGCAGUCUUACAGUGAACAACACCUGGACAGAGAGGACAUGUGCAUCAACAAAACCAGAACAUUUGGUUGGGGGAUCUCCCUGCCAGGUGAGCAAGUUUGGUCAGUAUCACCUCCCCCCUUCUUAUCUUCACUUCCCCUUUCCUCACCCUACACUGACUCCAAGCAAAAGUUGAAUGGAAAUGUACAUUUUCUUUCAACUUUCACAUCUAGCAUAGAAAAAAAGCUAAAAUAAAUAAAUCUCACUGAGCAUGUAUGAGGAGAAAAAAAGGCUUUAGCCUUCUCUCCUGAACCGAGUAUCACUGCAGCCUCAUCGUAAAUCUGCUCAGGUAGUCACGAUAUUUAAACUAAACAAAAAAAAAGGAAAAAGAUUCACAGCUUGGUUUCACUUCAUUUUAGACAGCUUGAGCGAUUUGGGGUCGAAUUUGGUAACGUGAACACGCUUGAAAACGAUCAUCUGGUAAUCUUACUCGACUGCGUAUGUAUUAUUUGUUCGAGAUGCAUUUAACUAAGAGAUAAGAUUAGAUAUGGUAGGCCAUCUACAUCUUUGAGUAGGCAGAGCACGUCAACACUCAACGAGACGUCCCUCCCAAACUAUCCGUCAAGGUUCCACGUAAAUGUUUACUGUAACACACAAAACGCAAUUCCAUCAAAUGCAAACAUUAAAAAAAAAAAAAUCACUUUAUGGCUGUGUUGUCUGCAACAGGAACCGCUAGCUUCUUAGCUAGCAUCAGCACAAGAGCUAAUCUUGUAUGACAGCUCAAGAGGAAAACAAUAAUGCAAAUAUGCACCGACAAAGCCGACACUCAGACCACAAAUGAUCUGGUAAGAUCUGCUAUCUAGUUCACAAAUGCAAAACAAGUCGAUUUAGCUUACCUCAUAUCGUAAAAGGGUUGAAAUGCCGGCUUUUUUUCCCUUCAAGGGAAUUUGCACGUUUGUUGUGAUUUCACCAGGUGCACCAUGGGUAUUGUAGUUGUUCAGUCGUGGAGGACUUUUCCCGUCACCGCACUUUCGACAAUUUGUGCUUUAACUAAAAACCUUUUUUAAAAUUCACAGGAGCUCCCUUUUAUUGCCUUAAAAAAUGCGCGUUGUUCCACCAGACACACCUACCUUGGUAUAUUUGCACAUAUCAGUAUACCAAAAAAAAUACACUUAAUUAACAUAAGACAGCCAUUUGUCUACCAAAUAGGAUUUAUUUCAUAAUGUUGCAACUGAUACAAUAUUAACAGGACGUUUAUAGGUGCGAUGUGAUCAGAGUUCUGAGGUUCUACUUAUAUUGCUUCUUCUUUUUCAGGAGUGCAUCCCGGAGAGCAAUCUGCAUUAAAAGUAAAA